AACUUUCAGCAACGGAUCUUUUGGCUCUCGCAUCGAUGAAGAACGCAGCGAAAUGCGAUAAGUAAUGUGAAUUGCAGAAUUCAGUGAAUCAUCGAAUCUUUGAACGCACCUUGCGCCCUUUGGCUAUUCCGAAGGGCAUGCCUGUUUGAGUAUCAUGAACACCUCAACUCUCAUGGUUUGCCAUGAUGAGCUUGGACUUUGGGGGUCUUGCUGGCCUAUGGUCAGCUCCUCUCAAACGAAUCAGCUUGCCAGUGUUUGGUGGCAUCACAGGUGUGAUAACUAUCUACGCUUGUGGUUUUCCACCAGGUAACCUUCAGUGAUGGAGGUUCGCUGGAGCUCAUAAACGUCUCUCCUCUGCGCGGACAACUUUUUGAACGUUUGAUCUCAAAUCAGGUAGGACUACCCGCUGAACUUAAGCAUAUCAAUAAGCGGAGGAU
rnacentral:misc_RNA from 1 species